rnacentral:rRNA from 1 species
ACUACGGGUGGCAGCAGUAGGGAAUAUUGCUCAAUGGGGGAAACCCUGAAGCAGCAACGCCGCGUGGAGGAUGAAGGUUUUCGGAUUGUAAACUCCUUUUGUUAGAGAAGAUAAUGACGGUAUCUAACGAAUCAGCACCGGCUAACUCCGUGCCAGCAGCCGCGGUAAUACGGAGGGUGCAAGCGUUACUCGGAAUCACUGGGCGUAAAGAGUGCGUAGGCGGGAUAAUAAGUCAGAUGUGAAAUCCUAGGUCUUAACCAUAGAACUGAAUUUGAAAGUGUUAUUCUAGAGUAUGGGAGAGGUAGGUGGAAUUCUUGGUGUAGGGGUAAAAUCCGUAGAGAUCAAGAGGAAUACUCAUUGCGAAGGCGACCUGCUAGAACAUAACUGACGCUGAUGCGCGAAAGCGUGGGGAGCAAACAGGAGUAGAUACCCCUGUAGUC